GACGAACGCUGGCGGCGUGCUUAACACAUGCAAGUCGUACGGUAAGGCCCUUUCUGGGGUACACGAGUGGCGAACGGGUGAGUAACACGUGAGUAACCUGCCCACCACUUUGGGAUAACGCUAGGAAACUGGUGCUAAUACUGGAUAUGUGCUCCUGCUGCAUGGUGGGGGUUGGAAAGCUCCGGCGGUUGUGGAUGGACUCGCGGCCUAUCAGCUUGUUGGUGGGGUAGUGGCCUACCAAGGCGGCGACGGGUAGCCGGCCUGAGAGGGUGAGCGGCCACAUUGGGACUGAGAUACGGCCCAGACUCCUACGGGAGGCAGCAGUGGGGAAUAUUGCACAAUGGGCGCAAGCCUGAUGCAGCAACGCCGCGUGCGGGAUGACGGCCUUCGGGUUGUAAACCGCUUUCAGCAGGGACGAAGCUUUUUGUGACGGUACCUGCAGAAGAAGCACCGGCUAACUACGUG
rnacentral:rRNA from 1 species